rnacentral:rRNA from 1 species
AUGGCCGAGGACCAUGGAUCGUCGCGGCACAUGUCGUCCAUGUCCAUGUCGCACAAGGAGCUGGGCGACGACGACGCGCGGGUGGUGCAUGUGGGCGACCCGGAGCGCACCAACGAGCGCCUCCAGUUCGCCGGGAACGCCGUGCGCACCGCCAAGUACUCGCCGCUCACCUUCCUGCCGCGGAACCUGUUCGAGCAGUUCCACCGCCUCGCCUACGUCUAUUUCCUCGUCAUCGCCGUGCUCAACCAGCUCCCCCAGCUCGCGGUCUUCGGCCGCGGGGCCUCCGUCAUGCCGCUCGCCUUCGUCCUCGCGGUGACCGCCGUCAAGGACGCGUACGAGGACUGGCGACGCCACCGCUCCGACCGCGCCGAGAAUAACCGCCUCGCCGCUGUCCUGUCCCCCGGCGCGGCCGCCCAAUUCGUCCCCACCGAGUGGAAGCACGUCCGCGUCGGCGACGUCGUGCGGGUCGGUGCCAACGAGUCGCCCCCGGCGGACAUGGUCCUCCUGGCCACCAGCGACACCACCGGCGUAGCCUACGUGCAGACGCUCAACCUUGACGGCGAGUCCAACCUAAAGACUCGCUACGCUAAGCAAGAGACGCUGACGACGCCGCUCGAGCAUCUCGCCGGCGCCGUCGUCAGGUGCGAGCGCCCGAACCGUAACAUUUACGGCUUCCAGGCCAACCUGGAGCUCCAGGGGGAGGGCCGCCGGAUACCGCUGGGCCCGUCCAACAUCGUGCUGCGCGGCUGCGACCUCAAGAACACGUCCUGGGCCGUGGGCGUGGUGGUCUACGCGGGGCGCGAGACCAAGGCGAUGCUGAACAACGCGGGCACGCCGACCAAACGCAGCCGCCUGGAGACGCACAUGAACCGCGAGACGCUCUUCCUCUCCGGCAUCCUCAUCGCGCUCUGCUCGGCCGUGGCCACGCUCUCGGGCGUGUGGCUGCGCACCCACCAGACCGACCUGGAGCUCGCGCAGUUCUUCCAUAAGAAGGACUACCUCAAGGUCGGCAAGGAGGACAACGAGAACUACAACUACUACGGCAUCGCGGCGCAGAUCGUGUUCAACUUCCUCAUGGCGGUCAUCGUGUUCCAGAUCAUGAUACCCAUCUCGCUCUACAUCUCCAUGGAGCUGGUGAGGCUCGGUCAGGCCUACUUCAUGAUCCGGGACGCCAAGCUGUACGACGCGUCGUCCGACUCGAGGUUCCAGUGCAGGGCUCUCAACAUCAACGAGGACCUGGGGCAGGUCAAGUGCGUCUUCUCCGAUAAGACCGGCACGCUGACGCAGAACAAGAUGGAGUUCCGGUGCGCGAGCAUCGACGGCGUCGAUUACAGCGACGUCGCACGGCAGCGACCUGUCGAGGGCGAGCCGGCUUGGGCGCCAAAGGUGCCGGUGAAGGUCGACAGAGAGGUGAUGGAGCUGGUGAGGAACGGGGGUGCUACAGAGCAAGGGAUGAACGCCGGCGAGUUCUUUCUUGCCCUGGCAACGUGCAACACCAUUGUUCCUUUGAUCCUUGAUGAUGGCCCUGACCCAAAGAAGAAGGUGAUUGACUACCAAGGCGAGUCGCCGGACGAGCAGGCGUUGGUUUCUGCCGCCGCGGCCUAUGGCUUUGUGCUCGUGGAGCGAAGCUCCGGGCACAUUGUCAUUGACGUCCUUGGUCAGAAGCAGAGGUUUGACGUCCUUGGUCUUCAUGAGUUUGACAGCGACCGCAAGAGGAUGUCAGUUAUAAUUGGCUGCCCGGACAAGACUAUCAAGCUGUUUGUAAAAGGUGCAGAUAGUUCCAUGUUUGGAAUCAUCGACAAAACACUGAAUCCAGAUGUUGUCCAGGCAACUGAGAAACAUCUCCAUUCAUAUUCGUCAGUCGGCCUGCGAACCCUCGUCAUCGGCGUGCGGGAACUUAGCCAGUCAGAGUUUCAGGAGUGGCAAAUGGCUUACGAGAAGGCUAGCACUGCAUUAUUAGGCAGAGGCAAUCUCCUACGCAGUGUGGCCGCCAACAUUGAAAGGAACAUGCGCCUGCUGGGAGCCUCCGGUGUCGAAGACAAGCUGCAAGAUGGAGUUCCUGAAGCAAUUGAAAAACUAAGGGAAGCAGGGAUUAAGGUUUGGGUUCUGACAGGUGACAAACAAGAAACUGCCAUCUCCAUUGGCUAUUCCUGCAAGCUUUUGACAAGGGACAUGACACAGAUUGUGAUCAACAGUAAUUCAAGAGAGUCGUGCAGAAAAAGUUUGGAUGAUGCAAUCUCCAUGGUAAACAAACUCCGGUCACUGUCUACAGACUCCCAAUCUAGAGUUCCCCUCGCUUUGAUCAUUGACGGUAACAGUCUCGUCUACAUUUUUGACACAGAACGGGAGGAGAAGCUUUUUGAAGUCGCGAUAGCAUGCGAUGUUGUUCUAUGUUGUCGAGUGGCUCCUCUACAGAAGGCUGGGAUUGUUGAUUUAAUAAAGAAGCGAACAAGUGACAUGACUCUAGCUAUUGGAGAUGGUGCAAAUGAUGUAUCCAUGAUCCAAAUGGCCGAUGUUGGCAUUGGCAUCAGUGGUCAAGAAGGAAGGCAAGCUGUGAUGGCUUCAGAUUUUGCCAUGGGGCAAUUUAGAUUUUUGGUCCCACUGUUGUUAGUUCAUGGCCACUGGAACUACCAGAGAAUGAGCUACAUGAUCCUAUACAACUUUUACAGAAAUGCUACUUUUGUCUUUGUGCUUUUCUGGUAUGUACUUUACACUGGUUAUACCCUGUCAACAGCAAUAAAUGAGUGGAGCAGUGUGUUAUACUCUGUGGUCUAUACCUCUGCGCCGACUGUCAUUGUCGCCAUUCUCGACAAGGAUCUGAGUCGAAGGACAUUGCUGAAAUAUCCCCAACUCUACGGUGCGGGGCAGCGCGAGGAGAGUUACAACCUAAGACUGUUCAUUUUCAUCAUGGUGGACUCCGUUUGGCAGAGCCUCGCAGUUUUCUUCAUCCCUUACGCCGCAUACAAAAACAGCGCAAUCGACAGCGCUAGCCUGGGAGACCUGUGGACACUGUCUGUUGUCAUUCUUGUCAACAUUCACCUUGCCAUGGAUGUCAUCAGAUGGACUUGGAUCACUCAUGCAGCAAUAUGGGGCAGUAUUGUGGCGACAUGGAUUUGCGUCAUCAUCAUAGACUCCAUACCCACCUUGCCCGGUUUCUGGGCAAUCUACGAGGUGAUGGGAACUGCAUUGUUCUGGGCGUUGCUUCUUGCGGUGAUUGUGGUUGGAAUGAUCCCUCAUUUUGCCGCAAAGGCCAUCAGGGAACAUUUCAUGCCCAAUGACAUCCAGAUUGCCAGAGAGAUGGAGAAGUCACAAGAUUCUCGUGAUGUUAAUCAUCCAGAAGUCCAGAUGAGUACAUCCACUCGAGCUUAG